rnacentral:rRNA from 1 species
GUAUUAGAGGCACUGCCUGCCCAGUGACAUACGUUCAACGGCCGCGGUAUCCUGACCGUGCAAAGGUAGCAUAAUCACUUGUUCUUUAAAUAAGGACUAGCAUGAAUGGCUUAACGAAGGUUUGACUGUCUCUUACUUUUAAUCAGUGAAAUUGACCUUCCCGUGAAGAGGCGGGAAUUUUAAAAUAAGACGAGAAGACCCUAUGGAGCUUUAAUUUAACAGUCUCACAGCCUUAAUCAUAUCUUAGGAAUUAAAAUUAUUGUUCACAGACUAGAAAUUUUGGUUGGGGUGACCUCGGAGUACAAACUAACCUCCGAAUGAUAAUAAUCUAGACACUACAUGUCCAAAUUUCAACUCAUAAAUUGACCCAAAAUAUUGAUCAACGGAACAAGUUACCUUAGGGAUAACAGCGUAAA